UAGCCUUUCUCCAGCUUCUGCCACAUAGGAUUUGAGAACAAUUUUAGAAGUGACAUGUCAUUAAAUGAAAAAAGUUAGAAGUUCCAAUCAAAUUAUUUUGUUUCUCCACGUCAUGUCCUUGGAGCCAGACCUAUUAUUCAUCUUUGUGUGGUUCGACUUCACACAUGAUGGCGUCCAUCGCAAUACAGCUCCGACGAAGAAACCGAAGAACAACAGAAAGCCACUGAAGCAGAUGAAUGAUAUCGCAGAGAUCUCCUCCUCUCCUGUCUCCGCCAAAGGAAAAUCAGCUAAGUCGUUUGAGAAAGAUCUGUUGGAAAAAAAAAAGAUCUGUUGGAGAUGCAGACGAUGUUGGAGAAGAUGAAGAUCGAGAUGUCGUUGAGAUCUGAUAUAACGUUCCUUUAGAUUCAUGGUUGGUUCUCCUUGUGUGUAUAUGAUAUGGUUGCUGUUGAGGAAGUUCUGAUCAUUAAUGUAUGUAGUACUUGUUUGGUGGAGCUUCUUUGGGUGUGAUAAGAAAGGGCAGAUCCUUGAAUAUACACCUGCUGUUUGCGGAAGAUAUGGACAUGCGAAGAAGAUUGCAUGAAAACAAGAUGAAAAAGCUUCAGUCUCCUAACUUCCAUGUAUCUAGAACGAGGAUUCUCAUUUAUGUGUCCAAAGUCCAUGGAUGAAAAGCUCUUAAUUAAUGCAAUUAUCUCACGGGCUAAUAAGCAGAAGCCAAUUACCUGACAUGUCACAUAUUGGCGGCCUUUGUGCUAACAAUUCAAACGUAGUUCUAUCAUCUGAAUCUGGUUUCUUUCGUUCAAUGCAUAUCAGUUUCUUACAAAACGAGAAGAAGAGUAAAGUUGAUACGAAUAACCUGACCAUGGUCUUCUGGAGCUUUAAUGGAGCCUUGGAGGUAUGUUUUCCUCAUGAUCUCUUUAAGUUUUAGAAACCACAACCAUGUCAUUUUCUUAAUAGGUUGCUGAUUUUCAAGGAAACACGAUGCAUAGCUAUUGCUUGUGGACUUCUUCUAUAUUAUUUAUAUCUUGCAUUGGAUCUUGAACACGUUACAAGAAAAAAGUGUCGUCAAAUGUGUUGUAUAGACUGUGAUUGUUUACUUUGUAAUAUCAGAAUUCUAGGGAGGUUUCUUUUUUUUUGUACCAUAGUCACAUAUAUGUAGUCGUUUAAGGUUAUUAACCCGUGUGACUCUUAUCAAGCUUGACACUCAAUUGGGGCCAUGUUAGAGGCUCAAACAAGUAUUUUAGGAGUUUUAGUUCGAAUUUUUUGAGUUCAGAUUCUAACAUAAGCUCUGUUCAUUUACAAGACGCUGCGUCAGCGGCUUCCGGCGAAAUGUAUUAACUGUUUUUUUUCAUUCAUCUCGAGAGUAAUACCGGCGGCGAUGCUUUUGCCUAUCAAAAAUAUUCGCAGCAUCCAUCCACCUGCCGCUACUUAUAACAGCAUCACAGCCGACACCGGAAACCUUCGCGAAAAUGAUCGCGGCGUCGGUUUGAUUAAUUUUCCACCAUUUUUUUAUUAUUUUGAUGUUCAGUUUUCCGCAAGCCGCUGCGUCCGCGUCUUGUAAAAGAACAGGGUUAUAUUAUGUGAAAAUGUGAUGUUGCAGGCAGAAUAAACAAGCGCCACGAACGAGUCAGUCCUCAAGUUUCGUUAGACCACGUGAAACAAGCAUGAUUGAUAAAGUAGCAUGACAGAGAAGUGGUGCGUUAGAAAGUUGGUGAUGCAUAAAUGGUCAAGACCAUCGAACUAGAGGAUUGAUAAAAUGGGAUAUAUAAUUUUUUAUUCCACAGAUGUAAACAUAAAUUGGAGACCAAUGGUCACAAAAUAACAACACAGCCAAAAUGUUCAGCUGAAGCUAGAAACUGUAACUCCUCUAUGGUUCUCCAUAACAUCUCUACAUUAUGAAGGUAACAUUUUACUCAUUUUUUCAUCCAAUCUCCUUGUAUGUUUCCUUUUUUAUUCCUAUUUCUUUUUACAGGACAACUUCGCAUGUUUUCUCCUUUUACUACUAUGAAAUCCGUUGAUGUUAUUUUAAGACCAGUAUUGCUUAUUGGCUUGUUAUGACACGCGUUCUGAAUUUUCAAAAAACUUGAGAUUUAACGUUUACGGAUCUCUGCCUCUUUGUUUAGUUGACA